GAUGUGGCGUAGUGGUAAUGCAACUGCCUGUGAUGCAGAGAGUUCCGGAUUCGAUUCCCGGUGGAUCA